rnacentral:rRNA from 1 species
UACGAGGGGGGCGAGCGUUGUUCGGAAUUAUUGGGCGUAAAGGGCGCGUAGGCGGUGCGGUAAGUCACCUGUGAAACCUCUAGGCUUAACCUAGAGCCUGCAGGCGAAACUGCCGUGCUGGAGUGUGGGAGAGGUGCGUGGAAUUCCUGGUGUAGCGGUGAAAUGCGCAGAUAUCAGGAGGAACACCGAUGGCGAAGGCAGCUCGCUGGGACGGUACUGACGCUGAGGCGCGAAAGCGUGGGGAGCAAACAGG